rfam:Eutrema salsugineum unplaced genomic scaffold scaffold_12, whole genome shotgun sequence.
AAGCCAUGAUGUGGACACUGAUUGGUGUAGCUUCGAAACCAAUCCCAAGCUUCUCCGAAGCUUUCGUUUGUGUGAUGAGUGAAACUUGAGAUUUGAUUUCUGAGCUU